GACGUAGGGUGCGAGCGUUGUCCGGAUUUAUUGGGCGUAAAGAGCUCGUAGGCGGCUCGUCGCGUCGACCGUGAAAACCCGCGGCUUAACCGCGGGCUUGCGGUUGAUACGGGCGGGCUAGAGUUCGGUAGGGGAGACUGGAAUUCCUGGUGUAGCGGUGGAAUGCGCAGAUAUCAGGAGGAACACCAAUGGCGAAGGCAGGUCUCUGGGCCACAACUGACGCUGAGGAGCGAAAGCGUGGGGAGCGAACAGG
rnacentral:rRNA from 1 species